CCUACGGGGGGCAGCAGUGAGGAAUAUUGGUCAAUGGGCGCGAGCCUGAACCAGCCAAGUCGCGUGAGGGAAGACGGUCCUAUGGAUUGUAAACCUCUUUUGUCGGGGAGCAAAAGACGCCACGCGUGGCGUUCCGAGAGUACCCGAAGAAAAAGCAUCGGCUAACUCCGUGCCAGCAGCCGCGGUAAUACAGGGGAUGCGAGCGUUAGCCGGUUUUAUUGGGUUUAAAGGGUGCGCAGGCGGAAGAUCAAGUCAGCGGUAAAAUUGAGGGGCUCAACCUCUUCGAGCCGUGGAAACGGGUUUUCUGGAGUGAGCGAGAAGUAUGCGGAAUGCGUGGUGUAGCGGUGAAAUGCAUAGAUAUCACGCAGAACUCCGAUUGCGAAGGCAGCAUACCGGCGCUCAACUGACGCUCAUGCACGAAAGUGUGGGUAUCGAACAGGAUUAGAUACCCUAGUAGUC
rnacentral:rRNA from 1 species